CCACCCCUUCUCUCUUUCUCCCUCUGCUUCUUACCAGAACGAAAGAUAUCAUCAAUAACCUUUACACCUAAAGAUACUCGUGAUCUACACCCUAAAACUCUGUUUUUCAUUCAAUUUCACAACAAAUUGCAUCAAUCUGUGAACUAUUUAUCAAAUCACACGCGAAUUUAACAACACUAAUCGAAUGGAUACUGAUUGCGUGGUCGAAACCCUAACAGAUUCAGUUAUUAUCGCAUUAAUUUCUGUUUAUUUGCUCGUUUGAUGAAGCUUGUUCGUUCUGGUAAUUUGGAUUCUUAAUUACUAAGAGAAAGAAAGAGAGAAGGGGGUGGGGGUGGGUUUGCUUUUUUUUAUUUUCAUGUGUUUUUUAUUAGUAAGGGCAUUUUGGUCAUUUCAACCCACUUAACACCAAAAGUUAACCCCAUCCGUGCCAGGGACUAUCCGAGAACGAAAUUGCAAAAGUUGGGGACUAUAGCUGUAAUUUUAGAAAGUUGGGGACUAAAGAUGAAAAAUGGGCAAACCACAGGGACUAUCCGAGCAUUUUUCUCUUUUUAAAAUGACCCGUUUGAGAUAAACAUAGCUUACAUCCCGAAAAAAACUCUAGUUGCCAAGAAUCGAUUCAAAGUUAAAGACUCUUCUUUGGUUGUUCCUCAUUUUAGGUAUUUGAAGUAUAAAUACUAAUAAUAUACGGAUAUAAUUUUGGUACUUUUCGGCAUAGUUGUCACGGUGCAACCAAGCGUGCUCAGGGAAAACGUCCUCGAACCAGCCUAAAACUAGUCUAAAACAUCCAAAAAUGUCCUUGUAUUUUUCGGCAUAGUUGUUACGGUAUAACCAGAUACAACUUACACGGGAGAGUGCAGUAAAAAGCAUAGAUUAUCCAGUUGGCGAAUAGUUUUGGCUGCUCUCUUUAGAGAAAGAAUGAUUCAUGCAGUCUUUAUAUUGACAUGCUGGGUAUUGUGGGAAGCUCGGAGCACAAAGGUUUUCAAAGGUGUGGUUCAUUUAGUCUUUAAGAUGGUAGAAGAGAUUAAAGAAGUAUCACGAGAAUGCCUAAAGUAUCGCAUAACAGCUGGAGCCUCCUAAAGCACAGUUACCCUAGAUUAUGUCAAUAUUUAGAUUGAAUGUAGUCCUAAGGCUUGCAAUGUACCUUAGCUUUAUUUAUGUAUGUUACUGUUUUGCUGUUGUAGCCCAGCCCCCUAAAGCACCUUGCUUGGGAGCUUGGAUGUUGUUUGGAAUAAUAAAAUGCUCCCUUAUUUCAUUCAAAAAA